GACGAACGCUGGCGGCGUGCUUAACACAUGCAAGUCGAACGAUGAAGAAAAGAAUUGAAGCUUCGGCAGAAAUUCAUUUCGGAUUAGUGGCAGACGGGUGAGUAACGCGUAAGCAACCUACCUCUUACAAAGGGAUAGCCUCGGGAAACCGGGAUUAAUACCAUAUAACAUUGCGACGAAGCAUUUCGAUGCAAUCAAAGCUACGGCGGUAAGAGAUGGGCUCGCGUCCCAUUAACCAGAUGGUGAGGUAACGGCUCACCAUAGUAACGAUGGGUAACCGGCCUGAGAGGGUGAACGGUCACACUGGAACUGAGACACGGUCCAGACUCCUACGGGAGGCAGCAGUGGGGAAUAUUGCACAAUGGAGGGAACUCUGAUGCAGCGACGCCGCGUGAGUGAUGAAGGAAUUCGUUUCGUAAAACUCUGUUCUAUGGGAAGAAAAGGACUGUACCAUAGGAGAAAGCUCCGGCUAAAUACGUG
rnacentral:rRNA from 1 species